rnacentral:rRNA from 1 species
UACGUAGGGGGCAAGCGUUGUCCGGAUUUAUUGGGCGUAAAGAGCGUGUAGGCGGCCAGACAGGUCCACUGUGAAAACUCGAGGCUCAACCUCGAGAGGUCGGUGGAAACCGUCUGGCUAGAGUCCGGAAGAGGAGAGUGGAAUUCCCGGUGUAGCGGUGAAAUGCGCAGAUAUCAGGAAGAACACCCGUGGCGAAGGCGGCUCUCUGGGACGGUACUGACGCUGAGACGCGAAAGCGUGGGGAGCGAACAGG